rnacentral:lncRNA from 1 species
CAGUGUUUUUGCUUGAGCACAUGUGAUUAUUUUCUCACCCAUUAAAUUCAUAUUGAGAAGUAUAUAAAUAUAUAUCUCAAUACAAAUUCAAUAGAUAGAAGAGCGAGAACAUAUGCUCUCAAAAGAUUUGGUUUUCACGCGAGGUCGGAGAUCAGUGUGGAACACGAGAUGAGAGGAUUAGGAUGGUGGAAUCUGCCAUUGUUUCAGGGGAGUUGAAAAUGUGAAUCUUCUUACCAGGGUUCACACUACAAACUAAUCGUCCACAACUUUUUAUAUUACUAGUAGGUUUAUUUAAAUAUGGCGGCAAGGUUCCAAAGCCAGCAAUGGCGGACACUCCUUUUGCUCUUUUUCACCGCGUGACCGGCCGGCACACGUGUUGCUCUUUUUUUUUUUUUGAAUGGAAAAAAUUAAAAUCCCCGAUCGAUCGUGAGGUCGAUUCCUACCGGGACAACGAUUAUGGCGUCAGGACGAUCAGGUAUGCAAAUCUCAUUCAGUGCAGCUGUUUCAAAGCGCGUUGAGCUCAACAAAUCUGCAGUCCCAUCGGCGGAUUAUUCCCUGCGGUCCUGCCCCUUUCCAUGGUCGCUCUCACCCAGGAAGGAAAAAAGAAUUCAUUGUGGAAGCGUUCGUCCCGUAAGGAUAGAGAUGAAAUUGUUAGGUGGACUGAUCAUGGGUGAUUACAUAUCGGUACCCCAGGGAGAGAUGGGGGCCACAAAUUAGCAAUGGAUCCCAUUAAAGGCUCCUUUGGAUCACAGGAUAGAAAAUAUGUAGGAAUAGGAAAACUUCAGGAAUACAUAUGCCAUACCCCUCCGUUCCUAUAGAAAUUCAAAACACAGGGAAGCU